rnacentral:rRNA from 1 species
GACGAACCGUGCGAACGUUAUUCGGAAUCAUUGGGCUUAAAGCGCGUGUAGGCGGAUUCGUGCGUCUGUCGUUGAAAUCCCCCGGCUCAACCGGGGAAGUGGCGCGGAUACGACGAGUCUGGAGGGGCAUAGGGGGACCUGGAACUUCCGGUGGAGCGGUGAAAUGCGUUGAGAUCGGAAGGAACGCCCGUGGCGAAAGCACUUUACUGGGCUAUUACUGACACUGAGAGACGAAAGCUAGGGUAGCAAAUGGG